AAUCUAUACCAGAAUCUUUUACCUCAGGUCCAAGAUUCAAAUGCUACUUCAUAAAAAUUUGUUGAAAAUGAUUCACACUGUCCUUAUUUAUGAGCAACCAAGGUCUUGGAUGUUUCAGAAUUAAUUGUAGGACUUGGAUAGGAGGCUUGAAAUUUGGCUUUCCAAUUUGGCCUCUUAAAUGCCUAGGAAGCUAUAACCCUUGAACGAUGCCUUGAUACAACAAAUUCUUUAGGGAGUACCAAAAGAGGAAUAAAAAACUAAAAUAAUACAUUUGAGAACUUUAGAUUAAAGUACAGAAACUACAAAUCUGGUAAAAUAGUGUUUUAAUGUCAGAAGAUAAAGUCUAGAUUGAAACAGAGAAUGUUGUAUUCUCAAUUUGCAUAUUUUGAAAGAUUUAAUAUACAACUAGAGGUUAACCAAUGCAGUGGUUUCAGAUAAAGGGGAAAUACAGCACCAUAAAAAGUAUUUGAUAACAUUCAAAUAUGUUUUCCUCAUAUUUUAACUUUUUUCAAUAUCUAAUAAAUUAAAUCUGCCGAUUCAUCCCCUCGAUAGCUUAAAAUUUUUGAUCACUGGACCAUAGUCUCAAUAUUUUUUUACAGAAGCUUAUAGCUGCUUCCGGGCAUGUUUACUGAUCAUUUUUUACUUGAUGGGUUUUCUCUGCAGAGCUUGAAAACAUAUCUUGGAGAAGAAAAACUCAAAAUUGCAGCCUUGCAGCCAUUGGAUGGUAGUGAUGGGGAUCAAGGAGGAGAAGAGGCCUUCACACAUAUUUCAGGCAACGGAGGCGUCAACCGUAAACUAAUUUUGAAUUAUUAGGAAUUUUAGUUUCAAUAGGAUUUUCUUUAUAUUUCGUUAUAUUUUCUAUGUUUUGUUUACUUAUUGGACAGCGACUAGGUGUAUAUAUGCAAGGCAUGGUUUAUUUAAAUAAUACUUUUUUU